AUGAUAAUAUUAUUUUGUAGUUUUAAAAUUUUUGUUUCUCUUCUAAUUUUCACUCACAUUUUACAGCCUUCAGAUACUAUCUGUUACAGUCUGAUAUUAGAACCUAGAAGUUGUUUGUUGGACUGCUUUCCUUCACUGUGUCUGCUGCUUCCGUUUCCUGAUGUUUCAUCUUCUAAUCGGGUUAAAGAGCCCUCGGUGAAGAUGGACCCAAGGGCAUCACUGUUGACAAGGGAGACCUUGUUGUGGCCGGUCAGUGUGUGGUCGGGGGUACACCUGUGCCUGAAGCCUGACGUCACUCACCAGCUGGCCCUGGUGAUGGUGCCUGGAAUGCAACACGGCAAAGCUUUGGAUAAAGGGAGCAGCAAGACCCAAGGCACACCCGCCCCCUGGCUGGCUCAUAGUGCUUAUGACAGAUGGGGCUGGCUAGUUGGGGAACAUGUAGUACCCCUAGCCUGGGUGCUGCGCUGCAUAGAACACAUUAGGGUAACACCACUGUGAGAUAGGGACCCGCCACGACCUGUGCAAACAUAACAUGCACCUUUGGUGUGGUGGCACAGGUGGCCUCACCACGGUCAGGCCCUGAUGGACUUUGUACCCUCUGGGAGUUUUUGGGUCUGUGGGUACACAGCGUGGCCUUACCUGCCAAGCGAACUGGACUGGACGUUGUUCCUGAGGGUGGCCUUAUGGACCUGCCACUGUCCUCCCCGCAUUACCCAGAUGCCCACAUAACUGAGAGGCACUACCCUCCCAGUUUUUGAAGUGCAGCGAGCCGCCUGGCAGGUCUAUCCCUUGGCAUUAACCGUUCCUGGAGCAGGUGUUAUAACUAUAGAGAAACAAGCAAUGGCUCUUGCAGAGCAUUCUACUAUAAGGACACAUGCAUACGAAUGUUCAUUGCAGCACUGUUUACAAUAGCAAAGACCUGGAACCAACCCAAAUGCCCACUGAUGAUAGACUGGACAGGGAAAAUGUGGCACAUAUACACCAUGGAAUAUUAUGCAGCCAUCAAAAACGAUGAGUUCGUGUCCUUUGUAGGGACAUGGAUGAACCUGGAAACCAUCAUCGUCAGCAAACUGACACAGGAACAGAAAAUCAAACACCGCAUGUUCUCACUCAUAGAUGGUUGUUGAACAAUGAGAACACAUGGACACAGGGAGGGGAGCAUCACACACUGGGGUCUGUUGGGGGGAAAAGGGGAUGGACAGUGGGGGGUGGGGAGUUGGGGAGAGAUAGCAUGGGGAGAAAUGCCAGAUAUAGGUGAAGGGGAGGAAGGCAGCAAAUCACACUGCCACUUGUGUACCUGUGCAACAAUCUUGCAUGUUCUUCACAUGUACCCCAAAACCUAAAAUGCAAUAAAAGAAAUUUAAAAAGUAAAUCCCUUGCUUACCCCUUUUCCCCCACCUUACAAAAAGCAUCUGAGCUAAACUUUCUGUACUCCAUAGGUCAGUCCUUUUUAUUUCUGUGCUGAUGUUUAUCUGGAAAUAAAACCAUUUUGAUGUUCUUAAAAAGAAUUAAUUAAUUAAUGCAAUGAUGUUAACUUCAAAUCUCACUGUU
ensembl:lncRNA